rnacentral:rRNA from 1 species
UACGUAGGGGGCAAGCGUUGUCCGGAAUCAUUGGGCGUAAAGAGCGCGUAGGCGGUCCGGUAAGUCGGUUGUGAAAACUGGGGGCUCAACCCUCAGAGGCCGACCGAUACUGCUGGGCUAGAGUCCGGAAGAGGCGAGUGGAAUUCCUGGUGUAGCGGUGAAAUGCGUAGAUAUCGGGAGGAACACCUGUGGCGAAAGCGGCGCACUGGACCAUAACUGACGCUGAGGCGCGAAAGCUAGGGGAGCAAACAGG